AGUGGCGGACGGGUGAGUAACGCGUGAGAAUCUGCCUCUAGAACGGGGACAACAGAGGGAAACUUCUGCUAAUCCCGGAUGAGCCGAAAGGUCAAAGAUUUAUCGUCUAGAGAUGAGCUCGCGUCUGAUUAGCUAGUUGGUAAGGUAAAGGCUUACCAAGGCGACGAUCAGUAGCUGGUCUGAGAGGAUGAUCAGCCACACUGGGACUGAGACACGGCCCAGACUCCUACGGGAGGCAGCAGUGGGGAAUUUUCCGCAAUGGGCGCAAGCCUGACGGAGCAAGACCGCGUGGGGGAGGAAAGCCUUUGGGUUGUAAACCCCUUUUCUCAGGGAAGAAGAAAGUGACGGUACCUGAGGAAUCAGCCUCGGCUAACUCCGUGCCAGCAGCCGCGGUAAUACGGAGGAGGCAAGCGUUAUCCGGAAUGAUUGGGCGUAAAGCGUUCGUAGGUGGCAAUUCAAGUCUGCUGUCAAAGACAGUAGCUCAACUACUGCAAGGCAGUGGAAACUGAAUAGCUAGAGUGCGGUAGGGGCAGAGGGAAUUCCCGGUGUAGCGGUGAAAUGCGUAGAGAUCGGGAAGAACACCGGUGGCGAAAGCGCUCUGCUGGGCCGCAACUGACACUGAGGGACGAAAGCUAGGGGAGCGAAUGGGAUUAGAUACCCC
rnacentral:rRNA from 1 species